ensembl:lncRNA
UAUAAAGCCAGGCUCCGGUAAGAAUUAACCUCAGUAUCUUCAACAUCUCCGCAGAGGACACCUGGACAGCUCUGAAGCUCUGAGGCCGGCCGCGGCAAAACCACUGGUCACUGUUUUUUUUUUUUUCCUUUGACUGUGGUCAGGCUUCCUGGGGGGCUCCCCACCCAUCGUAGUGGCCCUAGGAUGGUGUAUUUCUGGUGACGUGAGGGUCUACCAUCCGGCGAAUUAGCUGAUGAAGUUCCAAGCUUUUCAGGUGUCAACAUGUUACAUAUUUUAACUUUGUUUCUACAGCAUUUCACUGAAAUGACGGAAAUAUUCUUAUACUGUAUGUAACCAAACUGGAGACAUCUGAAACAACUUGAACUCAUCAAGCUAUUUCAGUCGGGUGUAACCCUUUCAUGUCAGCAGAUUGCUGCUCACUAUGUUGAGCAGUUUGGGGAGUGUCCUGCAGCAAUUGUAUAGAUCUGCAUUCUGGGAAGACGCUGGUCACCCACGUAGUAGCCCUGGCUUGUCUAAGUCGAUGCUUACAGUGGGCGUUUGGACUGUGGGAAAGACUCAGUCCCGCUCUAUAAACCCUACAUUGGGGACCUCCGUUGCUAUGUAGUGGGAAGCCAUCGCGGCCCAGAGGAAACUUUCCUCUGGAGGACUGUUUCCUCUGGAGCUUGAGUGGCUGCUGUAAGCAUCGUUCAAAGAUGAUCGGUCGGUCUUCAAUGCUACAAGGAGACAGGAAGUCUGCGUGCCAGUCUGCCUCAGAGCUCACUUCAGGCUUCUUGUGUGUCCGAUGUAGGAUGCUGUUGUAAGAUACUCACACCAAACUCUUGUUGUUUAAAACGGCAGCAUAUCUGACCUGUAACUUUGGAUCCAGAAUAGACUUUUACUGCUUCCGCUUCUCCUAAUUUGGCUCAAGAUGUUUGGUGUCACCAAAAUGAUUUUCGGAUUAACUAGUCUCUCCUUGAAUAUUGUAAACAUUAAUUAUUACUAAAGAGUUAUAAGUAUGAAAUAGAUUUUAUUACACGAGAAAAAGGGAAAAGUAGAUACAUUGUAGGUACAUCUCUCGGCUCCUGACCCCGGAUUCCAGCCCUUCGACGUCUGACGCCGUAACUGCCGAUUCCUCCAGGCCGUCCUCCAGAUCGUCCUCCAGGCCGUCCUCCAGAUCGUCCUCCAGGCCGUCCUCCAGAUUGUCCGCCAGGCCGUCCUCCAGAUCGUCCUCCAGAUCGUCCUCCAGGCCGUCCUCCAGACCGCCCUCCAGAUCGUCCUCCAGAUCGUCCUCCAGGCCGUCCUCCAGACCCUCCUCCAGGCCGCCCUCCAGAUCGUCCUCCAGGCCGUCUUCCAGAUCGUCCUCUAGACCGUCCUCCAGAUCGUCCUCCAGAGAACUCCCGGUCACUCGACUGUGGUCCCCCGGACUGUCCUCUCCCUCCCACCCCAUAUUGUGUUUAGGUUAUUUCUCUGUAUGGCCCAACCACCCACCUUUGUGUUGAAUCAUUGACUCUUCUGUGUUGUGUUCCUAAAUAAAGUUUAUUUUGUUCGUAAAGUCUGCGAUUGGGUCCUACUUCUGCCAUCAACUGUGAUAGAGAAUGAUGCAGCUUGUGUACUAACAAGAACUAAGAAAAGGGAUCAUAUUACUCCUGUUUUAGCAUCUCUGCACUGGCUCCCUGUUAAAUCAAUAAUAGAAUUUAAGGUACUUCUCCCCAACUAAAAGGCACUUGCUGGUCAAGUGCCCUC